rnacentral:rRNA from 1 species
CAGUAGCCGCGGUAAUACGAAGGGUGCAAGCGUUACUCGGAAUUAUUGGGCGUAAAGGGUGCGUAGGCGGUUUGGCAAGUUUGGUGUGAAAUCUUCGGGCUCAACUCGAAGUCUGCAUCGAAAACUGCCGGGCUUGAGUAUGGGAGAGGUGAGUGGAAUUUCCGGUGUAGCGGUGAAAUGCGUAGAUAUCGGAAGGAACACCUGUGGCGAAAGCGGCUCACUGGACCAUAACUGACGCUGAUGCACGAAAGCUAGGGGAGCAAACAGGAUUAGAUACCCGUGUAGUCCCUGUCUCUUAUAU